UCUAACAUUUAUUCUAACACUAUGUGUGUCUGUUAGAAGCAUGACACUUGGGUUUUUUUUAAGUUAACUGAAGUUCAUCAUUCUUUUGUUGAUGCAAAUUAGGUUAAUCUUUUAAUUUGUAUUAUUAUUUGACAGCCAUUUGAGUGUCUGCUCUGCUAGAUUCUGACUAGACACUGUUGAAUAAAGUUAACACCAUCCUACCUCUCAAGAGCUUAAUAAUAGACUCCCGGCAGGUAGGAAAUCUUACAGGUGUUGUGGUAAGUUCUGUGAUAGAGAAAGCACACAGUGCUAUGGAAACAUAUAGGAAGGACACCAAACCUUUUCAUUGGUGAGGGAUGCAUUUUUGGUUUCUGAUCUAAGUAGGUUUGGUUUUUGUUUGUUCUUCUGAGCUUUUCAGAGUACUCUAGAGAAUCUAUGUUUCACCUAAGUGUGUUCUGUAGAGAAGAAAAGAGAUUUAAAGAUUAAAACACAAAGCAAAACCAUUUACAUGCCAGGUGUAGUGUAAUUGGGUAAACUGGCUGGUGCCUGUGAUCCCAAUUUGAACUAUUCAAGAGAAUGCGGACCAUAGGGUUGUGAGUUCAGACUGGAUGUGGCAAAGUUAAGAAGAGACUAUGUCAGAACACAUUGAGCUGAAAGGUUGCUCAAGAGGUAGGUGGUAUUUUUGCUGGGUGUGAGAGGAGCCCUGGAUUCUCACUUUGGUACCACAAAAGGAAA